rnacentral:rRNA from 1 species
AUUGAACGCUGGCGGAAUGCUUUACACAUGCAAGUCGAACGGCAGCACGGACUUCGGUCUGGUGGCGAGUGGCGAACGGGUGAGUACUAUAUAGGAACGUGCCCAGUCGUGGGGGAUAACGUAGUGAAAAUUACGCUAAUACCGCAUACGAUCUAAGGAUGAAAGAGGGGGACCUUUGGGCCUCGCGCGAUUGGAGCGGCCGAUAGCAGAGUAGGUAGUUGGUGGGGUAAAGGCUCACCAAGCCAACGAUCUGUAGCUGGUCUGAGAGGACGACCAGCCACACUGGGACUGAGACACGGCCCAGACUCCUACGGGAGGCAGCAGUGGGGAAUUUUGGACAAUGGACGCAAGUCUGAUCCAGCCAUUCCGCGUGCAGGACGAAGGCCUUCGGGUUGUAAACUGCUUUUGUACAGAACGAAAAGGUUUCUACUAAUACUAGGAGCUCAUGACGGUACUGUAAGAAUAAGCACCGGCUAACUACGUGCCAGCCGCCGCAGUAA